UACGUGGUGACUGUUAGUGGUGGUGGUGGUGAGGCGUAGUGUGGUGGUGUUGGUGGUUGUGGUGGUGGUGGCUUAGUGCCACUUGUGUCCUCUCUAGUGGAAGCUACAGCAACAGCUUCAGCAGCAACAGAACGAGAUGGCGGCUUUUAUGGCAAAACAGAUGAUGGGGAGUCAACUCAAUGCUGUUAAAGUGAUCUAGUGAAGGAAAGGCGACCGCUACCUCCUCCGCGCCGCCUGGGUCUGGCUACCACCUGUGUGUGUGUGUGGUGUUUCUCUCUCAUUUCCUCGCCUGCACGCGUAUCUACCUACCUACCUACCUACUCUCCCUCCCUCCUCCUUCCUUCAGUUCAUGCUCCUCUCCUGCUGUGGUUCGAUACGCAAUACUCGCCGACCUCAGCAACUCAAACAAAAAAUCAAUACAAAAAUCAACUUCAAAUCUUCGCCACAGCACUAAAUCCUCUCCCGGAACAAGUCUCCAGCGGCUGUCCAGAUAUCAAUGAGAUAGAUUGCCACACGAUCACACAAGGUCGAUCCUCCUUUAUCCUUCUCCAAGACACUACUUAGCUUCCAACACUCCAUCUUUCUGCGAGAAAGGCUCCAACACUCCAAGUCUUCACCAUGUUCGGAAUGCUGAAUCCUGUCAGUGCCGUCACCAGUCAGCUACCUGGUGGCGGCGACGGAGGCGACGAAGGAGACAAGGAAAAGGAAGAAGAAGCCGAGAGAGAGCGUCUGGAAGCCAUCAGGGAGGCAGAGGACAGGCGUAAGGAGAAGCACCGCAAGCUGGAAGAGGAGCGAGAGGGAAUGAGACAGGGCAUCAGGGACAAGGUAGGUCAGGACGCGGGUGG